rnacentral:tRNA from 1 species
ACACUGAUGGUGAAACGGUAUCAUGCUUGCCUUCCAUGCCAUUGUCUAGCAAGCGGCGUGGGUUCGACUCCCGCUCAGUGUA